UACAGAGGGGGCAAGCGUUGUUCGGAAUUACUGGGCGUAAAGGGCGCGUAGGCGGCCUUCUAAGUCGAGCGUGAAAUCCCCGGGCUCAACCCGGGAACUGCGUCCGAUACUGGAAGGCUUGAAUCCGGGAGAGGGAUGCGGAAUUCCAGGUGUAGCGGUGAAAUGCGUAGAUAUCUGGAGGAACACCGGUGGCGAAGGCGGCAUCCUGGACCGGUACUGACGCUGAGACGCGAAAGCGUGGGGAGCGAACAGG
rnacentral:rRNA from 1 species